rnacentral:rRNA from 1 species
GACGAACGCUGGCGGCGUGCCUAAUACAUGCAAGUAGAACGCAGUUGCGAACGGGUGAGUAACGCGUAGGUAACUGCCUCAAAGCGGGGGAUAACUAUUGGAAACGAUAGCUAAUACCGGAUACUUUGAGAUGGACCUGCGUUGUAUUAGCUAGUUGGUGAGGUAAAGGGUCAACAAGGCGACGAUACAUAGCCGACCUGAGAGGGGGAUUGGGCAAACCUGGAAUGGGGAACCGGCCAGAAUCCUAACGGAGGCAGCAGUAGGGGAACUUUGGGAAUGGGCGGAAGUCUGACCGAGGAACGCCGCGGGAGUGAAGAAGGGUCUCGGGUCGGAAAGCUCUGGUGUUAGAGGAGCGGUAACUAACCAGAAAGCGACGGCUAACUACGUGCCAGCAGCCGCGGUAAUAC